rnacentral:lncRNA from 1 species
UUUUUUUUGUUUACUCAAGAGACCUUCCCUCAAGAACAAUACAUUCUUUUUUUAUUUUUCCUUUCCUUUUAGAGCCACACCUGCGGCAUAUGUAAGUUCUCAGGCUAGGGGUCGAAGCGGAGCUGCAGCUGCCGGCCUACACUACAGCCAUGGCAACGCAGGAUGCAAGCCACAUCUGCAACCUAUGCUGCAGCUCACGGCAAUGCCAUACCCUUAACACACUGAGUGGGGCCAGAGAUCGACCCUGCAUCCUCACUGACACUACAUCAGGUUCUUAACCUGUUGAGCCACAACAGGAACUCUGAGAGCAAUGCAUUCUUUGGCAACAGUUGAGGUAAUGUCAAGUUCUUAAAAAUUUAAACGUUCCUCCUACCAAUUCUGCCAUCAUCUCAGGUUGGAAAUCCUAAUUUUAGUCAAAAUGUACCAUUUCUAAGCCUAUACUUCACCCUUGACAGAAGGAAGCCCUGGGCUUCAUGGUGUCUCCAUUAAUCGCCAGAGAAAUGACAACCAUGUGUUUAGUAUGUAUUAGCAAAGUUCAGGAUGAGUGGAAUAUAUCUUCCUUAGGCAAACCUAAAGAAGAGUCACUGUGAACACAGAUUUCCUUUCAAAUAAUAAAGUUUAGGAAAGAGAAUGUGGAAAUUCAUUACCUUCAAACCAUACUACUUGUAUUUCCAUGUACCUCCAGGAAUUCCUGCUUGAAAAUCCCUGACCUGGUCGAAUUUUACAUUCAUGUUCUAACUCAUAGACAGUCAUAGCCAGGAUUUUUAAUCUUGAUACCUGUCUCACCUCUUAUUCCAACACUCAGAAUGGCUUCACCUGUUUGCAUUCUGCUUUGAUUAUGAUUUGUAUUUGUCUUCCAUUUCAUGGACUGCAGUGGGUUGAACUGUGACACCCUCAACAUAAACGUCUAUAUUCAAACCCCUGGAAACUGUGACUGUUACAUUAUUUGGAAAAAAAAGGUCUUUGCAGAUACAAGUUAGGCCUAGGGGUGAGGUUGCCCUGGCUGACUCAGCUGGGCCCUAAAUUCAAUGACAAACACCCUUAUAAGAGACAGAAGAGAAGACAGACACAGAAGGAAGGUAACAUGAACACAGAGGCCGAGACUGGAAUGAUGCAGCCAAAAGGAAGCUGAGAGCCACCAGAAGUUAGAAAGAUAGGGAAGGAUUCUCCUCUAGAGGCUCCAAAAGUAAUGUGGCCCUGCCAACACCUUGAUUUCAGACAUCUGGCCUCCAGAGCUCUGAGACAAUCAGUUUCUGUUGUUUUAAAUCACCUAGUUUGUGGUAAUUUGUUACAUCAACUCUAGGAAAUGAAGAUGCUUAUCUUUGGCUUCCUAGGUCCAUAUUCUCCUCAGUAAUGAGCCCUAUCAUACUAUGGCAUAGGCCCUUGUGCAUGGUGUCAUUGCAGAAUUCAUACAAGCUUUGUAUUAAAACCCUACAAAUUUAUUUUUGUCUACUUCAUUAGGAAAGUUUCUGCAUAAUUUCAGAUAUAUUUGUUUUGGAAUCCUGGUUCUGCCCUUCAAAGUUGGGUGACCGUCGAUGAGUCAGACAACCUCAGCGCCUUCAUUUCUACACUAUUCAGCAACCAACAAAUGUUAGUUUUCCUUCCUGUAAAUGUAACUUAAAAGUUGUCACUUUUAAGUAUCUUCACUGGAGUUCCCGUUAUGGCUCAAGUGGUAAUGAACCUGAGUAGUAUCCAUGAGGCCUCUGAUUCGAUCCCUGGCCUUGUUCAGUGGGUUAAGGAUUUGGUAUUACCAUGAAAUAUGGUAAAGGUUGCAGAUGCAGCUUGCAUCCAGUGUUGCUGUGGCUAUGGCAUAGGCCAGUGGCUAGAGCUCUGAUUUGACCCAUGUGGGAACUUCCAUAUGCCACAGGUAUGGCCCUAGAAAGACAAAAAAAAUUUAAAAUUUACAAAAAGAAGUAUCUUUACUAAUAAAAUGGUUUAAUCCAAUCUUACUUCUUCCUUUGUUUUAGGUCUAUUCCUUUUCUUUUUUCUCCCUAAAGCAAUGUCAUUUUUCCACUUUUUGUAAUGAUGUGAAGAGAAUUAUGCCAAUAUAAUUUUUUAUCUUUUUGCCUUUGCUACGGCCACUCCCACGGCAUAUGGAGGUUUUUCUUCUACAAUAAUCCUAGAGUUUUGGUUUUUGUCUUUUUACUAUUGUGAGUGCUCAGGGAUAAAUGAUGACCUAUGGCUGCAGGCUUUCCCACAUUCAUUACUCUGAUAAGGCUUCUCUGUUCUAUGAGUCUGCUUAUGUUUGAAAAGGGCUGAGCUUAAGCUAAAGGAUUUCCCACAUUCAUUACAUUGAUAGGGUUUCUCUUCUGUAUGGUUUCUCUGAUGUCGAAUUAGUGAUGUUCUAUAGCAAAAUUGUUUUUGACAUUCAUUACAUUGAUAGGGUUUCUCACCAGAAUGUAUUUUUAGAUGUUCUGUAAGGUGUGUACUUCGGCUGAAAGUUUUUCCACAUUCCUUACAAACGUAAGGUUUCUCUCCAGUAUGAGUUCUCUGGUGUUCAGUAAGAUGUGCACUCCGAUUAAAGGCCUUUCCACAUUCAUUACACUCAAAGGGUUUCUCUCCAGUAUGAAUUCUCUGAUGUUGAAUGAAGGCUGGAGUAUGGCUGAAGGCUUUUCCACAUUCAUUACAUUUGUAGGGUUUUUCUCCUGUGUGAGUUCUUCGAUGUCGGGUUAGUGAUGUGCUGUGGCAAAAAACUUUCCUACAGUCCUUACACUGGUAGGAUUUCUCCCCAGAAUGAAUUCCUUGAUGUUCAAUAAGAUGUGUGCUCCGACUGAAGGUUUUCCCACAUUUGACACAUACAUAUGGUUUCUUUCCAGUGUGAAUUCUGUGAUGUUGAAUAAGGGCCGAAAUAUGGCUGAAAGCUUUCCCACAUUCAUUACAAGGAUAGGGUUUUUCUCCAGUAUGUAUUCUCUCAUGAUUUUUAAGGGAUGAUCUGUGACUAAAGGCUUUUUCACAUUCAUUACACUUAUAAGGUUUCUCCCCAGUAUGGACUCUUUGAUGUUGAAUAAGAUUAGUGCUCUGACUAAAAGCUUUUCCACAUUCAUUACACUCAUAGGGUUUCUCCCCAGUAUGAAUUCUCUGAUGUUGAAUGAAGGCUGGAGUAUGGCUGAAGGCUUUUCCACAUUCAUUACAUUUGUAGAGUUUUUCUCCUGUGUGAGUUCUCUGAUGUCGGAUUAGUGAUGUGCUGUGGCAAAAAACUUUCCUACAGUCCUUACACUGGUAGGAUUUCUCCCCAGAAUGAAUUCCUUGAUGUUCAAUAAGAUGUGUGCUCCGACUGAAGGUUUUCCCACAUUUGACACAUACAUAUGGUUUCUUUCCAGUGUGAAUUCUGUGAUGCUGAAUAAGGGCUGAAAUAUGGCCGAAAGCCUUCCCACAUUCUUUACAAGGAUAGGGUUUUUCUCCAGUAUGUAUUCUCUCGUGAUUUUUAAGGGAUGAUCUGUGACUAAAGGCUUUUUCACAUUCAUUACACUUAUAAGGUUUCUCCCCGGUAUGGACUCUUUGAUGUUGAAUAAGAUUAGUGCUCUGACUAAAAGCUUUCCCACAUUCAUUACACUCAUAAGGCUUCUCUCCAGUAUGUAUUCUUUGAUGUUGAAUAAGAUUAGUGUUUCGGCUGAAGGAUUUACCACAUAGUUUACAUUCACGUUUCUCUCUCAUACAAAUGUUCUCAGAUUCCAUCAGUACUGAACUAUAGCUGUACAUUUAAAUUGUUUCAAACAUAAGUAAUUUUAUAUAUGAAAUUAUUUUUCCUUUAUAAGCUGCCUUUAAAAAAAUCUAUUGAAGCAGAAUUAUGCAUCUGUGUCAUAAUUAUGAGGUCUUUAUCUUCUAGAAACUCUCAGCUGUUUAAAAAGAUUUGAGCUGAGAUUAGACAUUUCCCUCAAACUGUUACAUUCAUGAUCUUUCUCCUGAAUUGCUUUUCCUUAUAAUAUUACUUGUGUUGCUCAAACCAGUUAUUGAAUUCCAAUUCUUCGAAUGUGAAGAACCAUCAUUUGAAAAUUUUUCUAACAUCAUGCCAUGACACCAUUUAUUUUUCAGAAGCUUUCAGCUUUAGAAUUAACACUCUGCCUUUGGAUAUAGUAUCCAGGAUUAAGCAGAAGAUAAUAUUUCUUCCCUCUGGAAUAUAAAGGGGAAAAUAGACCUCACUCAUCAGUUAUAAAAAAAAAAUAUAUCUAUAUAUAAGAAAAAAUAAACCAGUAUGGAUAAAACACGAUUAUACAAUAUAGGUUCUGAUGAAUAUGGAUGUUUAAAGAAGGAAAGAAUUAACACAGAUAAGCAUGGUAAAAGAAAUGAUUGCACUGAGACAAAAUUCAUGAUAUAAUCAAAGAUAAAGAUAUAAAAAGUACAUGAUAUGGCAGACCAAUGACAUUAGCUCAAAUAUAUGUCUUUGGAAAGCAGAGGUAGGUAAAACAUAAGAAAAAUGAAAUGGGAUCAUAUAAUAAAUUCUGACAAAAAAUGUCAUAUAGUAGGAGAUAGAAAAAUUGAAGUUUUCUGUCAUAGUAGCAACAUGAUAAAUAUGUGAUUUUUAGAUGAAGUACUUGCUAAUUUCAUCUAAAAUGGAUAACAGAAUAAAGCAAUCAAAUUCAGUAAGAAAGUAUAAUAUAAAUGAUAUGGGCCUGGAUUAAGAUAAUACAUAAGAAUUCAGUAUAAAAGUAAAUCUAAAACAGAAGAAACAAAAAUAUACGGACAUUGAUUAUGAGGAAUUUUUACAAAAUGAGGUUCAUAAAGAUGCUUGGUUUCCAGCCAAGAAAGUUAGAACUAAUAGUGGUGCUAAGAGAGGAACAAAUAGCACCAAUAAUAGUGGUAUGAAUGACAGAAAUACUGAAGAAGGAAAAAGAGGCUACUUAGAGAAAGUUGGUGACUUCACAUUUCACCAUAUUGAGUUUAUAAAGUAAUUUAUUAAAGUGAAGUGAGACAUUCAAGUAGUGAGCUACUCUAAGCAGGGAAAGUAUGGAGAAUUCAAAUGAGAUAUGUAAAGGGAAAAAGACAUAUCAGGGAAUUAAUGGCAUGGAAGGACUAGUUUUAGGAUAUAGGAUGCAUGGAUUGUUUGGGAUGAAAAAUAAACAAGCAGAAAAUAAACCUUAAAAGGACAAGCAUUUGUGUUAGGGAGGAAGUGAAACUAAUGAAAAAGCCCUUGCAAAGAAAUUAGAACAGAAAAUAACCUGGUGAUGUCACAAAAGCAAAGACAAAAUAUCAAAUGAAGCAGAAAAUUUAGAAUAUGGAAAGGACUAAGUUUCUAUCAGGAAAGAAUUCAGAAUUCAGGGGUCCCUUCAAAAUAAUUUUAAUAGAAAAACAGAUGAUAAGAAUCUAAAUUCAAAAAUUAGGGUAGAAUUGACACUGUUAACUAUGAGUACAAAAAGUGUGGUAAUGAAAAAAGACUAAAAUUAAAAUGUAAGUAAAAAUUAAAAUAUUGUUACACAAAUGUUUUUUUAAAAACAAGAAAAACUUUUCAACUUCGAAAAUUAGAACAGGGAGAGACUGAAUUAUGAAAUAAUCAUUAAAUCAAGGUCCUAAAACAAAUAGAAAAUAAUGGAGUCUAGGGUACAAAUACAGAGAUUCACUAACAAAUGAAAGAGGGCCAUCUCUUACUGGGAGUUCACAAAAACAUGUGAGAUGGAUAAAGAUAUGUAGAAAUGAAGGUGAAUGUCGAGCCCACUAGAUGAACUGUUUUAUACAUGGAUAAGAGGAGGCUCUGCAGAGUGGACACUAACCAGCAUUUCUAAAUCCACCACCUAGUACCAAUAUUGUUGGUACCACCAUCACAACAGACAAUUAUUUACAAGGAUUUCUAGCUACUUGGUUGUUACCUAGUUGUCUGAUUUGUUCUUCACUAAGUAUUUUGUGACGUUUCUCCAUUUUUCCCUCUGUUAUCUAUUAAUACGAUUCUUUCUACUUAGAAGAUAAUGUCUGUUUUAAAAAGUUGAUGCUUGGAUUCUUGGUGAAGGAUAUGUGCUUGCGUGUUUACCAUGGAUCCAGAAUUGUUCCUAAGUUGUGUUCAGGAAAUCUGAAAUGUCGGAAUAUUGAUGCUGCUAAGGCAACAUAAUAAAGUCAUCUGUGUACAAUGUUUUGAAGAAAAAAGCAAUCAUCUUUAAUAAUAAAAGAAAUAUUUUAUCUCAAUGAACAAAUAAAAUUAAAAAUCUCUGGUCACUAACUCAAAGUAUAGAUCAGAUAAGCCCUUGUAAAUCCCAUAAUGCCAAACAUUUUGACAUUUAGGGAAGAAGCCACGGUGAUCUAUAGUAAUUACAAAGCUAUACUUAACCCAUGAGACAAGGCUCCUACAGUUGUUAUCACUUCCCUGUACAGUAUCUGAAAAUGGUCUGAUUCUUUUCAUUACCACUAUGUAAAGUCCCCUGGAACAGCCUUCGAUGCCUGGUUCCUAGAACAUCAAAUACUUGCUUACUAAGGGAUCAUUCAUUCAACUACUUAUGAAAGAAAGAGUAAAGCUAACAACUUAAAAUAACAAAGUAGAAGGCUAGAAAGUUCAAAGAGGGUUCAGGGUUCUAAAGUUCUAAGUUCAAGACUGUCCAAAAGCACUUAUUUGGUGCCUACUAUGUACCUGUUGAGAGUAUACAGAAGCAAUGCUGAAGUUUCCCUACAAAAACACUGAAAAUAAGAAAUCUAUCUAUAUUUACAUAAACUAUAAAUAUAAAAAUAUGAACUCAACCAAAGAAAUAAUAGAAAGUGUAUAGAUAUGAUAAGGAGGUACUACAUAAAUGGACAAGGUUACAAUCCUAUUGAUGGUAGCAAUACAUAUAAAGAAGUAUGGAUCAAUCAAAAGUAAAGCAAUGGUGGGGAGACGGGAGUAAGAUGGCAGAAUAGAAGGACUAGAGCUCAUCUUCUCUCAUAAAAUCAACAAAAUUACAACCAACUGCUGAACUACCUUCAACCAAACAGACAGCAAGCUAUCAAAAAAGAUAUCCUACUCCAGAAGACAAAGAGGUGACCACAUCAAGAUAGUAGGAGGUACAAUUACAUGAUGUAAGCAACCCCAUACCCGCUGGGUGGGCAGCCUAUAAACUGGAAAGUAACUGUAUCACAAAGACUUCCUUAUGGGAGUGAGCAUCCUGAACCCCACAUCAGGUCCCCUUGCCUGGGGAUCUGUUAUUGCGAGAAGGAUCCCCCAGAGCGUUUGGCAUUGAAGGCCAGUGGGGCUUGUGUGCAGGUGCUCCAUGGGACUGGGGGAAACAGAGACACCAUUCUUGAAAGGCACACAUAGGCUUUCAUACGCACUGGGUCCCAGGGCAAAGCAGAGACUCCAAAGGAAUACGGGUCGGACCUGACUGCAGUUCUUGGAAGAUCUCCUGGGGAAAGAGAGAAUGACUGUGGCUCAUUGUGGGGGAAGGACACUGGAGGCAAUGGUCUCUGGAAUAAUCAGAAGCAUGUGUUUUGGAAAAAUCUGGCCCCACCCUUCAGUGCUGAGAAGCCCCAGGCCAAGCAAUAAUCCACCCAUCAGUAAAACAGGCUGCCUAAAGUCUCCAGGCACACAGCUGCCUCUAAACUUACCAGGGACAAAGCCCCACCCACCAGAGGGAAUCAGCUCCAACCAGUGGCCUCCCUCCCAUCAGGAAGCCUACACCAAGUCCCAGUACCAACUUCAGCCACAAGGGGGGCAGACAUCAGAAGCAAGAGAGGCUCCAACUCUAUUGUGUGCAAAAAGGAGACCACACCAAAAA